rnacentral:tRNA from 1 species
UAAAUUAAAUUUAUAUAGUAUAAAUAAAUAUUUUUAACUUCCAAUUAAAAGAUCUUUUUUAAAGUAUAAAUAA